CGGUGUAGUUAAUAGCUGCAUCGUUUGACGUUAACGACAGAAGAAGCACCGGCUAACUCCGUGCCAGCAGCCGCGGUAAUACGGAGGGUGCGAGCGUUAAUCGGAAUUACUGGGCGUAAAGCGCAUGCAGGUGGUUUGUUAAGUCAGAUGUGAAAGCCCGGGGCUCAACCUCGGAAUUGCAUUUGAAACUGGCAGACUAGAGUACUGUAGAGGGGGGUAGAAUUUCAGGUGUAGCGGUGAAAUGCGUAGAGAUCUGAAGGAAUACCGGUGGCGAAGGCGGCCCCCUGGACAGAUACUGACACUCAGAUGCGAAAGCGUGGGGAGCAAACAGGAUUAGAUACCCUGGUAGUCCACGCCGUAAACGAUGUCUACUUGGAGGUUGUGGCCUUGAGCCGUGGCUUUCGGAGCUAACGCGUUAAGUAGACCGCCUGGGGAGUACGGUCGCAAGAUUAAAACUCAAAUGAAUUGACGGGGGCCCGCACAAGCGGUGGAGCAUGUGGUUUAAUUCGAUGCAACGCGAAGAACCUUACCUACUCUUGACAUCCAGAGAACUUUCCAGAGAUGGAUUGGUGCCUUCGGGAACUCUGAGACAGGUGCUGCAUGGCUGUCGUCAGCUCGUGUUGUGAAAUGUUGGGUUAAGUCCCGCAACGAGCGCAACCCUUAUCCUUGUUUGCCAGCGAGUAAUGUCGGGAACUCCAGGGAGACUGCCGGUGAUAAACCGGAGGAAGGUGGGGACGACGUCAAGUCAUCAUGGCCCUUACGAGUAGGGCUACACACGUGCUACAAUGGCGCAUACAGAGGGCGGCCAACUUGCGAAAGUGAGCGAAUCCCAAAAAGUGCGUCGUAGUCCGGAUUGGAGUCUGCAACUCGACUCCAUGAAGUCGGAAUCGCUAGUAAUCGUGGAUCAGAAUGCCACGGUGAAUACGUUCCCGGGCCUUGUACACACCGCCCGUCACACCAUGGGAGUGGGCUGCAAAAG
rnacentral:rRNA from 1 species